GAUUAACGCUGGCGGCGUGCAUAACACAUGCCAGUCGAACGAAGAAACUUAGUAGACUUCUUCGGCAAGACAUUAAGCGGAUUAGUUGCGAACGGGUGAGUAACGCGUGAGUAACCUGCCUUACACAAGGGGAUAGCGUUUGGAAACGAAGAAUAAUACUCUAUCAAACCAUAAAAGCACAUGUUAGGAUGGUCAAAGUGAUAGUGGUGUAAGAUGGACUUGCGUCUGAUGAGCUAGUUGGUGAGGUAUAAGCUCACCAAGGCAGCUAUCAGUAGCCGGCUUGAGAGCGUGUACGGCCACAUUGGGACUGGGACACGGCCCAGACUCCUACGGGAGGCAGCAGUGGGGAAUUUUGCACGAUGGGGGAAACCCUGAUGCAUCGACGCCGCGAGAUUUAGAAGGCCUUCGGGUUGUAAAAAUCUUUUGUAUAGGAAGAAAAUGACAGUACUAUACGAAUAAGGUCCGGCUAAUUACGUG
rnacentral:rRNA from 1 species